ensembl:rRNA 5S_rRNA 5S ribosomal RNA
GUCUAUGGCCAUACCACCCUGAACGCGCCCGAUCUCGUCUGAUCUCGGAAGCUAAGCAGGGUCGGGCCUGGUUAGUACUUGGAUGGGAGAGAAGACCAGCAGGUGGCCAGUCC